UUUCCGUAGGUGAACCUGCGGAAGGAUCAUUAAUGAGUUGUCAUGGGGUUCGAUGCUGGCAGCCAAUUUUUGGAUGCAUGUGCUUGCCCUUACAAUCAUCUUCCAAACACCUGUGCACAUUUUUGAGGGAGUCUUGAGUUGGUUGCCGCUCUUGGGUGAUUUUCUCACAUUCCCUUAAAUCAUUAUACGCUAUUAACAAUGUUGAACGUGCUCUGUGCCGCAAGGCUAUUAAUAUAAUACAACUUUUAACAACGGAUCUCUUGGCUCUCACAUCGAUGAAGAACGCAGC
rnacentral:misc_RNA from 1 species